AACGAACGCUGGCGGCAAGCUUAACACAUGCAAGUCGAACGCACCUAGCAAUAGGUGAGUGGCAGACGGGUGAGUAACGCGUGGGAACAUGCCCUUUGGUGCGGAAUAGCACAUGGAAACGUUUGGUAAUACCGGAUAAGCCCGAGAGGGCAAAGAUGUAUUGCCAAAGGAUUGGCCCGCGUCCGAUUAGAUAGUUGGAAGAGUAAUAGCCUACCAAGGCGACGAUCGGUAGCUGGUCUGAGAGGAUAAUCAGCCACAUUGGGACUGAGACACGGCACAAACUUCUACGGAAUGAAGCAGUGGGGAAUAUUGGACAAUGGGCGCAAGCCUGAUCCAGCUAUGCCGAGUGAGUGACCAGAAGGCCUUAGAGUUGUAAAGCUCUUUCAGUAGUGAAGAUAAUGACGGUAACUAAAGAAGAAGCCCCGGCUAACUUCGUGCCAGCCGCCGCGGUAA
rnacentral:rRNA from 1 species